rnacentral:rRNA from 1 species
AUUGGGACUGAGACACGGCCCAAACUCCUACGGGAGGCAGCAGUGGGGAAUAUUGCACAAUGGGGGGAAACCCGUGACGCAGCGACGCCGCGUGAGCGAAGAAGUAUUUCGGUAUGUAAAGCUCUAUCAGCAGGGAAGAUAAUGACGGUACCUGACUAAGAAGCUCCGGCUAAAUACGUGCCAGCAGCCGCGGUAAUACGUAGGUGGCAAGCGUUAUCCGGAAUUAUUGGGCGUAAAGCGCGCGUAGGCGGUAAAAUAAGUCUGAUGUGAAAGCCCCCGGCUCAACCGGGGAGGGUCAUUGGAAACUGUUUUACUUGAGUACAGAAGAGGAGAGUGGAACUCCAUGUGUAGCGGUGGAAUGCGUAGAUAUAUGGAAGAACACCAGUGGCGAAGGCGGCUCUCUGGUCUGCAACUGACGCUGAGGCUCGAAAGCAUGGGUAGCGAACAGGAUUAGAUACCCUGGUAGUCCAUGCCGUAAACGAUGAGCGCUAGGGUGUUGGGGACUUUUCCGGUCCUCAGUGCCGCAGCAAACGCUAAG